GGUCAUGAGCGCCAGCGCCAAGCCCCGGCUUGCUGGCCGGCAACCCUCCAACCGCGGUGGGGUGCCCCGGGUGAUGACCAGGUUGAGUAGCCAUCACCGGCUACGCGGCAAGCGCGGGUC
rfam:Mycobacterium xenopi RIVM700367 contig21, whole genome shotgun sequence.